ensembl:misc_RNA Y_RNA Y RNA
AGCGGUCCUGAGUGCAGUGGUGUUUACCACUAAUUGACCACAACCAGUUACAGAUUUCUUUGUUCUGUCUCCACUCCCACUGCUUCACUUGACUAGCUAAAC